CUGACACAUGCUGAGGUCAGCUGCUCUGACAAUGUUGCACUACUGUACCAUCCAUUCUAGCAGUGCAAUAGUAUUGUCAUAGCAUUUGGCCUCAGCUCGCUCUAG
ensembl:miRNA mir301b microRNA 301b